GAUGAACGCUAGCGGGAGGCCUAACACAUGCAAGCCGAGCGGUAUUGUUUCUUCGGAAAUGAGAGAGCGGCGUACGGGUGCGGAACACGUGUGCAACCUGCCUUUAUCUGGGGGAUAGCCUUUCGAAAGGAAGAUUAAUACUCCAUAACAUAUUGAACGGCAUCGUUUGAUAUUGAAAGCUCCGGCGGAUAGAGAUGGGCACGCGCAAGAUUAGCUAGUUGGUGAGGUAACGGCUCACCAAGGCGAUGAUCUUUAGGGGGCCUGAGAGGGUGAUCCCCCACACUGGUACUGAGACACGGACCAGACUCCUACGGGAGGCAGCAGUGAGGAAUAUUGGUCAAUGGGUGCAAGCCUGAACCAGCCAUCCCGCGUGAAGGACGACUGCCCUAUGGGUUGUAAACUUCUUUUGUAUAGGGAUAAACCUACCCUCGUGAGGGUAGCUGAAGAUACUAUACGA
rnacentral:rRNA from 1 species